UUCACCUGCAUUGAUGCAAAGAACAACAACUUCAGUUUCACUUCCAAACCAUUUAAUACUUUAAUAAACCGAAGAGCAAGAGGGAGCAUUCAGUCAUUGAUCUGCCAGCUUUAAGUUCUCCGUCCUCUAAUACCUCAACAACAGCCAACAAAGGUUUUGAAGAAGAAGACGUCUUAUUGUUGGUUUACGUGGACGAAGUCGAAUGCACAAGACAAAUUAGGAAGCCAGUUUGCUCUCUUUGCAGCUCGUCCAAGUCCGGCGUUUUUGGCUUUGUGUUGUUCUCGUCGCACAAAGGAAAGAAAUGGGUUGCAGUAGCGUUGGAAACAAAAGUAAAUAUAGUCACAACAAGAACUGAACUGAUCGACCUUGGGAGAGAUGGAAUCUUUAUUUUGGGUCAAGGGCGAGAGUAAUAACCAGUCAAGAAGCUAUUGUACCACAGAAAAUUUCUAUCAGUUAUGUAAUCGAAUUCGGGUCCUGAGCAGUUGAUAGCUAUCCUGUCAGGACUAGUGUACACCAGUGACCGUGAGUCAUCGAGCGAGUUGGCCGGUCAAGUGACCGUGAGAGGUGGCCACCUCUCUGGCACGCAGUUCUAGAUAUGAUAGAUUACGAGAGAACUUAUACUGCAGUCGAACUUUAAGAAUCACAAAUGAAUUUAGUUGAGUAGUAGCCGGUGGUGAUGAAGUGACGAGCGGGAUCUUCUUUUGUCCUAAUAUUAUAUGUAUUGAUUAACUCUUGGGUACAUGUCUUCAUACAUGUAAUCAGAAUUUCUAUUCCGCUGCGUACUUAGAAGUCUUAUGUUAUUUUGACUAAGUCGGAGUUAUCCGAACUUACUAGUUUAUUUGAGUCAA